AACAAACGCUGGCGGCGUGCCUAAUACAUGCAAGUCGAACGGGGAAAGCUUUCGGGUGAGUACUAGUGGCGCACGGGUGAGUAACGCGUGGGAAUAUGCCCUUCGGUUCGGAAUAACACAGGGAAACUUGUGCUAAUACCGGAUAAGAUCUACGGAUGAAAGAUUUAUCGCCGAGGGAGUAGCCCGCGUAGGAUUAGCUAGUUGGUGAGGUAAUGGCUCACCAAGGCGCCGAUCCUUAGCUGGUCUGAGAGGAUGAUCAGCCACACUGGGACUGAGACACGGCCCAGACUCCUACGGGAGGCAGCAGUGGGGAAUAUUGGACAAUGGGCGAAAGCCUGAUCCAGCCAUGCCGCGUGAGUGAUGAAGGCCUUAGGGUUGUAAAGCUCUUUCGCCAGGGAAGAUAAUGACGGUACCUGGAAAAGAAGCCUCGGCUAACUCCGUGCCAGCAGCCGCCGUAACAC
rnacentral:rRNA from 1 species